rnacentral:rRNA from 1 species
UACGAAGGGUGCAAGCGUUACUCGGAAUUACUGGGCGUAAAGAGCUCGUAGGCGGUUCGUCGCGUCGGCUGUGAAAUCCCGAGGCUCAACCUCGGGUCUGCAGUCGAUACGGGCGGACUGGAGUACUGCAGGGGAGACUGGAAUUCCUGGUGUAGCGGUGAAAUGCGCAGAUAUCAGGAGGAACACCGGUGGCGAAGGCGGGUCUCUGGGCAGUAACUGACGCUGAGGAGCGAAAGCGUGGGGAGCGAACAGG